GGCUCCAUAGCUCAGUAGGUAGAGCAGAGGACUGAAAAUCCUUGUGUCACUGGUUCAAUUCCCGUUGGAGCCACCA
rnacentral:tRNA from 1 species